CCGCUCCCGGUAAUGGGUACCCCCAGAGGACCCUAAACUCUGUUUCUAUAUGAAAAAACAGAGUAAAACCAUAAAUAAAUCAAAACUUUCAACAACGGAUCUCUUGGUUCUGGCAUCGAUGAAGAACGCAGCAAAAUGCGAUAAGUAAUGUGAAUUGCAGAAUUCAGUGAAUCAUCGAAUCUUUGAACGCACAUUGCGCCCGCCAGUAUUCUGGCGGGCAUGCCUGUUCGAGCGUCAUUUCAACCCUCAAGCACAGCUUGGUGUUGGGACUCGCGUUAAUUCGCGUUCCUCAAAUUGAUUGGCGGUCACGUCGAGCUUCCAUAGCGUAGUAGUAAAACCCUCGUUACUGGUAAUCGUCGCGGCCACGCCGUUAAACCCCAACUUCUGAAUGUUGACCUCGGAUCAGGUAGGAAUACCCCGCUGAACUUAAGCAUAUCAAUAAGCGGAAAAAUUUU
rnacentral:rRNA from 1 species